rnacentral:rRNA from 1 species
UAAAAAAAGGUAAGCUACUAAGAGCGAAUGGUGGAUGCCUUGACUGGUAAAGGCGAUGAAGGACGUACUAGACUGCGAUAAGCUACGGGGAGCUGUCAAGAAGCUUUGAUCCGUAGAUUUCCGAAUGGGGCAACCCAAUGUAUAGAGAUAUACAUUACCUAUAUAGGAGCGAACGAGGGGAAUUGAAACAUCUUAGUACCCUCAGGAAAAGAAAUCAAUAGAGAUUGCGUCAGUAGCGGCGAGCGAAAGCGCAAGAGGGCAAACCCAGUGCUUGCACUGGGGGUUGUAGGACUGCAAUGUGCAAGAGGUAAGUUUAGCAGAACAUUCUGGAAAGUAUAACCAUAGAGGGUGAUAGUCCCGUAUGCGAAAAACAAACCUUAGCUAGCAGUAUCCUGAGUAGGGCGGGACACGAGGAAUCCUGUCUGAAUCCGGGUCGACCACGAUCCAACCCUAAAUACUAAUACCAGAUCGAUAGUGCACAAGUACCGUGAGGGAAAGGUGAAAAGAACUGAGGUGAUCAGAGUGAAAUAGAACCUGAAACCAUUUGCUUACAAUCAUUCAGAGCCCUAUGUAGCAAUACAGGGUGAUGGACUGCCUUUUGCAUAAUGAGCCUGCGAGUUGUGGUGUCUGGCAAGGUUAAGCAAACGCGAAGCCGUAGCGAAAGCGAGUCUGAAUAGGGCGCUUAGUCAGAUGCUGCAGACCCGAAACGAAGUGAUCUAUCCAUGAGCAAGUUGAAGCUAGUGUAAGAACUAGUGGAGGACUGAACCCAUAGGCGUUGAAAAGCCCCGGGAUGACUUGUGGAUAGGGGUGAAAGGCCAAUCAAACUUCGUGAUAGCUGGUUCUCUCCGAAAUAUAUUUAGGUAUAGCGUUGUGUCGUAAUAUAAGGGGGUAGAGCACUGAAUGGGCUAGGGCAUACACCAAUGUACCAAACCCUAUCAAACUCCGAAUACCUUAUAUGUAAUCACAGCAGUCAGGCGGCGAGUGAUAAAAUCCGUCGUCAAGAGGGAAACAACCCAGACUACCAGCUAAGGUCCCUAAAUCUUACUUAAGUGGAAAACGAUGUGAAGUUACUUAAACAACCAGGAGGUUGGCUUAGAAGCAGCCAUCCUUUAAAGAAAGCGUAAUAGCUCACUGGUCUAGUGAUUUUGCGCGGAAAAUAUAACGGGGCUAAAGUAAGUACCGAAGCUGUAGACUUAGUUUACUAAGUGGUAGGAGAGCGUUCUAUUUGCGUCGAAGGUAUAC